rnacentral:rRNA from 1 species
UACAGAGGGUGCAAGCGUUGUUCGGAAUUAUUGGGCGUAAAGCGCGUGUAGGCGGCAGACCAAGUCGGCGGUGAAAGCGCCCGGCUCAACUGGGCGAGGUCCGUGGAAACUGGUCAGCUGGAGGACGGUAGAGGCGAGUGGAAUUCCCGGUGUAGUGGUGAAAUGCGUAGAGAUCGGGAGGAACACCUGUGGCGAAGGCGGCUCGCUGGGCCGGUCCUGACGCUGAGACGCGAAGGCGUGGGGAGCGAACGGG